GCGCGGGGCGGGGAUUGGUCCGCGCUCCUCUCUUUUCUCAAGGUUCGCGGCGGCCGGCGAUUCCCGGGACACCUGCUGGCUUCGCCCGUCCCGCGGCGCCGGGCUUCCCUGCUGCGCUCCCGGUUCUCUGGGCGGGAAGAAGGGCUGAGCCGUCCAGUCGCCAACGGAACCCCGAGUGGCGCCGCUGAGCCGUCGCAGGGCGAGAUGAGCGCGGAUGCGGCGGCCGGGGCGCCCCUGCUCCGGCUCUGCUGCCUGGAGAAGGGUGCGAGCGGCUAGGGCUUCCACCUGCACGGCGAGAAGGGCAAGGUGGGCCUGUACCUCGCUGGUGGAGCCCGGCUCGGCGGCCGAGAAGGCGGGGCUGCUGGCCGGGACCGGCUGGUGGAGGUGAACGGCGAGACCCACCCGCGGGUGGUGAACGCAUCCGCGCCGCGCUAACGCCGUGCGCCUGCUGGAGGUCGACCCCGAGACGGACGAGCAGCUGCAGAAGCUCGGCGUCCAGGUCCGCGGGGAGCUGCUGCGCACCCAGGAAGCGCCGGGGCAGGGCGAGCCGCCGGCCGCCGCCGAGGCGCAGGGGGCUGGCAGUGAAAAUGAGCCCAGCGAGGGCGACACGAGCCGCCCGGAGCAGCUCAAGCUUCGGCCUCGGCUCUGUACCGUGAGGAAGGGCCCCAAUGGCUAUAGCUUCAGCCUGCACAGCGACAAGUCCAAGCCAGGCCAGUUCAUCUGGUCAGUGGACCCACACUCCCCAGCUGAAGCUUCAGGGCUCCGGGCGCAGGACGGCAUUGUGGUGGUGAACUGGGUCCGCAUGGAGGGGAAGCAGCAUGGGGACGUGGGGUCCGCCAUCAGGGCUGGCGGGGAUGAGACCAAGCUGCUGGUGGUGGACAGGGAGACGGACGAGUUCUUCAAGAAAUGCAAAGCGACUCCAUCUCAGGAGCACCUGAAUGGUCCCCUGCCUGAGCCCUUCACCAAUGGGGAGAUACAGAAGAACAGUCGUGAAGCCCUGGCAGAGGCAGCCACAGAGAGCCCCAGACCAGCCCUGGUGACGGCCUCCAGUUACACCAGCAAGGAGCUGAAUUCCCAAGACAGCCCCCCAAAACAGGAUUCCACAGUGCCCUAGUCUACCUCCUCCUCUGACCCCAUCCUGGAUUUCAACAUCUCCCUGGCCAUGGCCAAAGAGAGGGCCCACUGGAAGCACAGCAGCAAACGUGCCCCGCAGAUAGACUGGAGCAAGAAAAACGAACUCUUCAGCAACCUCUGAGCGCCCGCUGCCAGCCACCCAGUGACUGGCAGGACCGAGCCAGCCUUCCACCCCACCUUUUUCCUUCUCCGCAGUUACUCCCCUGAAUCGACAUACAAAUCAGCACCCACAUCCCCUUUCUUGACAAAUGAUUUUUCUAGAGAACUAUGUUCUUCCCUUACCUUAGGGAAGGUGAGUGUGUUCCUGUCCUCCCCCAAUCAGAAAGAAGACUCUGCC